rnacentral:rRNA from 1 species
AGUUAUAUGCUUGUCUCAAAGAUUAAGCCAUGCAUGUCUAAGUACAAGCAAAAAUAAAGUGAAACCGCAAAAGGCUCAUUAUAUCAGUUAUGGUUCCUUAGAUCGUAUCCACAUUUACUUGGAUAACUGUGGUAAUUCUAGAGCUAAUACAUGCAUUUAAAGAGAAACCAGUAAAAUGGGAUCUCUGCUUUUAUUAGAUUUAAACCAAUGGGGAAUGUCGUUUCGCGACGGCAUUCUCAAAUUAAAAAUGGUUGAACUCUGGAUAAUUUGUUGAUCGCAUGGUCUUGUACCGGCGACAGAUCUUUCAAAUGUCUGCCCUAUCAACUAUUGAAGGUAGUGUCUUGGACUACCUUGGUUGCAACGGGUAACGGGGAAUCAGGGUUCGAUUCCGGAGAGGGAGCCUGAGAAACGGCUACCACAUCUAAGGAAGGCAGCAGGCGCGUAAAUUACCCACUCCCGGCACGGGGAGGUAGUGACGAAAAAUAACAAUACAAGACUCACAUCCGAGGCCUUGUAAUUGGAAUGAGUACACUUUAAAUCCUUUAGCAAGGAUCAAUUGGAGGGCAAGUCUGGUGCCAGCAGCCGCGGUAAUUCCAGCUCCAAUAGCGUAUAUUAAAGUUGUUGCGGUUAAAACGUUCGUAGUUGAACUUGUGUUUCGCACGGGCAGUACCUAGGACUAGGUAACUAGGACGGUACUUUGUCUUAUCUUUCCAUAAUUUUUCAUCGGAUUAUUUGGGAAAAGUGCGUGAACGUAUUAUCGGCGUACUAUAACAAUAGUAAAUAACACGCAAAUUGUGCAAUGUGUGAAAACACUUGUAUAUUUUUGUUGUGUUAUUAUUAUUUGUUGUGUACAUAAGCCCAUUUCAGUGCUCUUCAUCGAGUGUUGCUGUGGGCCGAUACAAAUUACUUUGAACAAAUUAGAGUGCUUAAAGCAGGCUCAUAAUGCCUGAAUAUUUUGUGCAUGGAAUAAUGAAAUAGGACAUCUGUUCUACUUUCAUUGGUUUUUUAGACCAAGAUGUAAUGAUUAAUGGAAGCAGUUGGGGGCAUUAGUAUUACAACGCGAGAGGUGAAAUUCUUAGACCGUUGUAAGACUGACUAAAGCGAAAGCAUUUGCCAAAGAUGUUUUCAUUUAAUCAAGAACGAAAGUUAGAGGUUCGAAGGCGAUC